GAUGAAGAACGUAGCAAAGUGCAAUAAGUAAUGUGAAUUGCAGAAUACCGUGAAUCAUCGAAUCUUUGAACGCAUAUUGCACUCUCUGGUAUUCCGGAGAGUAUGCCUGUUUGAGGGUCAGUUAAAAAAAAUCAAGCGUUAUUGCUUUGGUGAUGACGUUUGGAAUUGAGUCGUCUUAAUCCUUACGGUCAAAGUGACUUAAAAUUUUUAAUGUGAUUUCGAAACGUAUUUAAUAUUUUACUUACGUUUGCGAUAUCAAAUAAUCUAUUAGAUGUGGUCAUUUUCCAUGAUUCGCGUCUAUAGUUUUCUCAUUAAAUGACCUCAAAUCAGGUAAGAGUACCCGCUGAACUUAAGCAUAUCAAUAAGCGGAGGA
rnacentral:misc_RNA from 1 species